UGAGUACGAGCGGCCACGGCCGCGAAGUGGAUGAUGUCAAGCUUCCAAGAAAAGCCCUAUACCCGUUAAGGCAUGAUGGCCUGUACCCGAAACCGACACAGGUGGGGUGGUAGAGAAUACCGAGGGGCGCGAGGUAACUCUCUCUAAGGAACUCGGCAAAAUGGCCCCGUAACUUCGGGAGAAGGGGUGCCACCGCGAGGUGGUCGCAGUGAAGAGGCCCAGGCGACUGUUUACCAAAAACACAGGUCUCCGCUAAGUCGCAAGACGAUGUAUGGGGGCUGACGCCUGCCCAGUGCCGGAAGGUUAAGGAAGCUGGUCAGCGCAAGCGAAGCUGGCGACUGAAGCCCCGGUGAACGGCGGCCGUAACAAUAACGGUCCUAAGGUAGCGAAAUUCCUUGUCGGGUAAGUUCCGACCCGCACGAAAGGCGUAACGAUCUGGGCGCUGUCUCUGAGAGAGGCUCGGCGAAAUAGAAUUGUCUGUGAAGAUGCGGACUACGUGCACCCGGACAGAAAGACCCUAUGAAGCUUUACUGUAGCUUGGUAUUGUGCUCGGGCUCGGAAUGCGCAGGAUAGGUGGGAGGCUUUGAUCCAUUGCUUGCGGGUGAUGGUGAGCCACUGGUGAGAUACCACUCUUUCCGAGCUAGAGUUCUAACAGCAACCCGUUAUCCGGGUGCUGGACAGUAUCAGGUGGGCAGUUUGACUGGGGCGGUCGCCUCCUAAAAGGUAACGGAGGCGCGCAAAGGUCUGCUCAGGCUGGUUGGAAAUCAGCCGACGAGUGUAAAAGCAGAAGCAGGCUUGACUGUGAGACCUACAAGUCGAACAGGGAGGAAACUCGGCUUUAGUGAUCCGACGGCUCUGCGUGGAAGGGCCGUCGCUCAACGGAUAAAAGUUACUCUAAGGAUAACAGGCUGAUCUCCCCCAAGAGUUCACAUCGACGGGGAGGUUUGGCACCUCGAUGUCGGCUCAUCGCAACCUGGGGCUGAAGUCGGUCCCAAGGGUUGGGCUGUUCGCCCAUUAAAGCGGUACGCGAGCUGGGUUCAGAACGUCGUGAGACAGUUCGGUCCAUAUCCGGUGCACGCGCAGGAAUAUUGAGAGGAUUUCUCCCUAGUACGAGAGGACCGGGAGGAACGCACCUCUGGUGUGCCAGUUAUCGUGCCAACGGUAAACGCUGGGUAGCCAUGUGCGGAGUGGAUAACCGCUGAAAGCAUCUAAGUGGGAAGCCCACCUCAAGAUGAGUAUUCCCAUGGCAUAAGCCAGUAAGGUCACGGGAAGAACACCCGUUGAUAGGCUCUACGUGGAAGCUCAGUAAUGUGUGAAGCGGAGGAGUACUAAUAGACCGAGGGCUUGACC
rnacentral:rRNA from 1 species